UUCAAGCAUUUGUAAUCUAGAGUGGGACA
rnacentral:piRNA from 1 species